AAACUUACAUUUAUUUAGAAAGUAAGAUCAAGUUACUUAUUACAGACCAGAGCUAUAAACGAGUGCUGAGUAGUACACAUAUCAAGGGAGGCAAAAACUCCUCCCGAUAGCUUUAAACAAAAAGUCCUAUAUGGAGGACCACGUCCUCCCGCAUCUUCACUCUUGUUUUUCUUCAUUUGAUACCACCUUGGAGCAAAAGCAACAAAAAUUUGUCGCUUCCUCACCUAAAAACAACAAAGGGAUAAACCCUGAGUAUGGAAUUACUCAGCAAGACUUACCCGACUAAGGAAAAGACUCUCAAGGGUAUGCUGGAUAAAUAGGAAUCAAGGAGAGGCUUUAGCAAGGAUCAACUUAGAUACUUUUGCAGAAAUAGCUUACUAAAGUGAGUCCUUACUUUCAACAUUUUAACGCCAGAUUAAAUAUUAGUAGACUCUGUUUGCCUCUAGUCUAAUUUCAUCAUCUCAUUAAUACAACAUCAUUUUUAUUCACGAAGUUCACAUCCUGACUUAGGUUGUAGGGCAGUGAUCAAGUCUCCACUCUCCGGGGAUAUAACGGCGAUCCGAAUCGAUUUACUCAGCUGAGGAUCUCUAACCACACGACAUAUGUAGCACUUAAUCCUUGCAUAUGUCAACUCGACCCCAGGGUUCUUAAGACCAGAUCAGGUUCACGCAAACCGAGAGCACAGAUACACCACCGUCCAGCCUCUUGCCACGGAGGGUACACGCUACUCCCGCCACCGCUCCACGCCCAUUUCGUGUUAUCUUAUUCUGGCCUUAGUCUGCCCGAGGCAAAGCUUACCCUGUCCCAUUUCCAGGGUAUGCGGCUAGCUAAGAUAGUCCUUGCUCUAUCAAGCCUACAUACGCAUUCAAUCCUUAAUCAACCUGGGUAGAACAUCACCUGUUCCUAGCCCAAGUCUCGAUUUAAGUAUUUCCAUCCUUAGGAUUGUUUCUAUUCCUUAGGAUGAAAAGAGCAUCACAGGGAACUUUGCAGUAAGAUCCCACCAUGCUCCCAAUGAAAAUAUAUUCUUGCAGGUAGAAGUCAUCUUUCCUCAGGAUAACCCCUGAGCAAGGCCUUAACGCAAAAGACAACUUCCAUCCACAAGAUCUAAGCAGGGCUAAGCAUUUUUGUAAAUCAAAUUUUGAUACUUCCAAAGAAGUAUCUAUAACGGGUAUGGAUAUCAAGGAAGGCAAUGCAUCAAAGGGUUUCAAGCAACUCCUAUAAACUUAAUGCACAUUUUACUAGACUUAAAGUGUGCGAAAAGUAUUUAAAAACACAAGGAAGGGGUUGCAUGCACCGGGGCUUGCCUUUGUUAGUAGGUGAGUCAGGCUCGGACUCGCAGAUGUCGAAGUAGAGCCAAGUCUCUGCCUGAGAUUCCAAAGGUGGUGAUGUCUUUUCUUCAGUCACUUCACCCUCUUCUCCGUUUUCUAAAUAUAACCAUAUAGGUAUAUAUAUAAGAAUGAAUGCCAUGUAAUGCUCAUGAGAGUGCAAAGAUAAUAAAUAUUUAUUAACUAAGUCUUGAGUACAACUUCCCUUCACGGAACUCCGAGAACUUAGGGUUUUCGGAGUCGGUAAAGGAGUUCAAAGGGCAGGGGGGUUGGUUUUGGGUUCUAGUUAUCAAACAUGGUCCAAAUCAACUCAAACCCUACCCAAGGCUUCUAAAUAUUUCUUUAAGUUCCCAUAAAAAGUUUGGGCAUUUUUGGACUUUCCAAUUAUUUUCUAAAAAUCCAUAACCAAUAUUUUUAACUACUUUAAAUGCCCUAAAAUUUCUUAUUUCCACUAAAAAUCACAAAACUAUUUUUAUUAAAUUCUAGGGAAAAUAACAAGCCUAGGAAAAUUGGUUUCACAAUUUUAAGAUUUUUCUACAAUUUUCUAUAGGUUUUCAAAGUUAUACUGUAAAAGAAAAGGGAAAACUCUAAACAGUACUGGGCUCAAACAGGCCUGCGUCGGCCCAGUUAGGGCAAAAGUGCGCUCAUGCGCGCGUCCGCGCUGCUCUGGCGGUCUUGUGAAAAGGACCUCGGUUUCUUGGCUAACCAUAACUGGGUUCUAUCACUAUUUCACUGAGUCUCUGACAUACUACAGAAAACCCCUCCAGGUUCUAAUCCUUCACUGUGUUGAGUCCACGACGGCGUCGAGCGCGGCCGAAGUCCGGCGAGCUCCUGGACCGGCGGGAUAGGGCAACGACUAGGGUUCCCGAGCGACGGACACGGAAUUGGACUCAUCCCAAACCUUUCCCCCAACUUAAUUUCACUAAUGAUCAAUAGGGUUGUGCUGACCAUGGUGACCGCGAAGGUUGUGGAUGGAUGAAGAUGUUCCUGGCGAUGGGUGGUGGUCCAGUUGCAUUGAACGGGUCGAGGGUUUUGCGGGGUGCUUAUGGAUGCUAGAACAAGAAACAGAGGGACGCGAGCUAACCGGAAUCGAGCUGGCCGCAGCGAGCUGUUCUUCACGGCGGCGGAGACUGAUUUGGGGCGAAUCCAAAAUUCAUGGAUUCUAGCGAAUGGUUGCGGCUGAUUCGUGGUGGCUGGAUAGAUUACUGCCCUACGGAGAUUGUGGCGCACUCAAUUUAUAGAUGCAUCGGGCGACGGUGAUGAAUUCGGCCGAGGGGUGCUGGCGGCCGGAGAGGGGAGGCGAGCUCUAUGCGGGGGAAACGUGGCUUUCAUCGUGGCAAUGGCUCCGGUGAUCGCCGGACAUGCAUCCGGUGAGUCACCGCGAUGAAGUCCCACGCUGAGGCACGCGGCGUGCAACGGCGACAGCUCGACGGCGGCGAGGCUAUCCGUUCGACCGAUGAGCUGGGGAGGAAGUACGACGGGCUUAGCCGCCACGAGGCUCAACUCAAUCCGGGCGCCAGAUAUUUACCAGCGCGAGCUUAUCUGCUGCCUACGGUGCACGAAUCGUGGCGAUCCGUCAACAACCCCGGCGAAAAGUCACCGGCGACGAGCAGGGGGGUGAAUCGUGAUCUUCUUCAGUUUGGGGCUUACUGUACCAUGGCGAAUGGAGUUCAGUCAUCCUGACAGACCGUUUUUGAGCUUAAUUUUCUCCCAAACCUGUAUGGCAACACAUACCAAAUUAUGCAGCAAAGUUGUUCCUGUAUAGAAGCUCUACAACUUUGUUAUAGCAAUCCUAGGUAGAUUCCCACUGGAGCUUAGUCGAAAUGGCUCUCAAACUUGGACCAAAGUCACUGUCAACUUAAAGUUCAGACUGUAUCAGUCUGACAGUCCAACUUUGGACAUAAAUAUCUCAGAAUUCUUCAUGGUACCAAGGCAUGAGUUCUAUAGUAAAGUUGUGCUCCUUCCAUAGAUCUACAAUAUUGAUGUGCUUACCUAGUGCAAAAACCCUGUAUUUUAAAAGUUGCAAGGCUCCAAAGUUGAGCUCAUCAAUCUGAAAUUCAGACUUAGCAUGAAAUCACCACUAGGGGCCUUUUUGCAAAUGAAUUCAAAUCUCAAGGUUUGGCUUCCAAAUUCACACCUUAGUGAAUCAAGUGACUUAAAAUACUUUAUUAACUUGGUUUUUGCACUUUAGUCCAAAUGUGCAUCAAUUUUGCACAUAAGUCCCUAGGGUUUGGACUUAGGGUUUUCCUAGGGCUUCAUUUAGGGUUUCUGGUAGCUUAGGGGUAUAAAUGUGAUUCAAGUUUAUUCUUGGGGUCAUUUUAUGACUUUUCCCUAAAGCUUUUAGGUUUCCUCAACUUGGGUUAAGUUUUUACCCCUUUAAUCCCUAUUUAGGGCUAAGCACCUUAUUCCAGGGUCUUAUUUGCGAAACACUAAUACAACUUGCUUGAAAUUUUUACUUAGGGUUCCAAUAUUUGAGCACCUAUAACCUUUUGCUCUUUUCUCCAAUUUGCUCCACAACAUAAGGAAAUCUCCAAAUGGGAAAAUGUUAGGCUCUCCAAACCCAAUCACUUUGAUAUAUGCACUUUUUCCAAAAGUAUGGCUAAAUCUCCAAAUCCACUUUUGGGGCUCAGGUUUAGGGUUUAGAGAUACUCAACCACCCUAAGUGCUUCACCACUUCUAAUGCUCAUACUGAAAACAAACUUAUCCAUCCUCCUAAAGCCAAGCUACUCUUUAACCUUAAAUCCAACUGUGGUAUAUAGAGCUCAUGUCCAAAGUGUGCUUGGUUUAGGGUUUACUUCGCUUACACACUAUUUCAAUCGAAGCUUUCAAACCUUACUGAAGGCUUUGAGGUGAUCCAUCUCCUCAAGUGUUACUUCCACUAGACUAACACUCCAAAACAAAUAAUUCCGGGUUCUUAAAGCUUUCCUUUAAUACUUAAGACUCCAAGUCAUCAUAUUACUUGCUCAAGAGAUGAUCUUUCCUUAUUUUGCUCAAACCCAGUCCUUAACUAAGUCCACUACUCAACACACAACAUCACACUUUUUACAAAGUUUUAACCUAAUAAAUGCAUUCUAGGUGUAUCAAGCACAUUAAUGCAGAUGCUUAUGAUGACAUGUUAGAGUUUUAGUUUACGUAACACCAGGGGUGUUACAGCCUUCCCCCCUAAAAGAAAUCUCAUCCUGAGAUUUAAAAGUCUAGGCUCAGUAACGGAAAAGGAAAUGUGUCACAAACUUAUUUCCCAAUUUCUCCUACCAAACAGGGGUGUGCCACUAUUGGUUUAAAAUUCACAAACCCUAAGGUUUUCCAAAAACUCAAAACUUAGGGCAAGGACUUUGUCUUCUAAAUAUCCCUCUGACCAUCUACAUGGUUUCAUCUUCUGUGGGGUAGUUCCACUGUACUCCAUAAAACUUGAUAUCUUUCUGUGUUUUAUCCAAGAUGUUGCAUCUAAUUUGGAUAAAGUCUAUCCAUUUGUCCAAAAUCACAUGGGAAAUCAGGUGAUACCAUUUCAUCACGAAACAUAAUUAAAAAUUAUGGUCUCAGCGUGUGCUAAGUCAUUUAUCCGCACACGCGCAUUCGCAUGGAAUAUCCAAAGGAAUAGCCAUCAUAACUCUUGAAGUUUGACAAACUACUAUAGAUAUUAAAAGUUGCCUCUAAAACAGGCAGUCGUUUCUUACACCAUAGUCAUAGAAAAGCUCACAUGUUACAUGAUCCAGGUGAAACAGGAAAACUCUUUCCAACAAAGUCUAACCUGUUUUUAUUACCAAGCUGGUCUAUCUUACACCUACCUUUCUUACAUUGAUCUAUUUCGCUAAACUCCCAGUUACCUACUACAUCUUCUCUAGCUACACCACCUGCCAGAUGCUUGUUGCCAUCCUUCCAAGGAACCCUCAGUCCGCUGAUGCAGGAGUAGGAUAAAAGGCAACAUUGAGCCUAUGCACUGUUUGCAGCAGAUGGUUGACAAGCCGUUGUGCUACUUGAAAUUCCAUUGGAUGAGCACGAUUCAAUUCCUGGAUCGCCUGAUCCUGAUGGCUUAUGAAGCUUAGGGUUUCCUUAAGGUCUUCGCUAACAGCAAUAGCACCCAAGCGAAUUUCUUCUUGUUGCUGACUCAGAACUUUUGAUUUAGAAUGAGCAUUAGCUAGCUGAUGCUCAAGCUCCUUAAUGCGAUUCUGAUCAGCUUGGUGUUGUGUCUGAAGUCCUGUCACCUGAUGCUCUAGUCCAAUAAUCUAUUUCGCUUGAACCUUUGUUUCCUCAAGUCGUUCUUGUGUUGGGUACAAGCCCUAUUCUUGGCCAUUUCCAUCAUCUUAAAUGCUGCAUAACUCCCAGUGUACAACUGCUGCCACUUUUGACGACUGUGCCCUCGAGCAAGCUGCAACUCUAGCACGGCCAUCAAUACUCGAGCAGAUGCCGAUUCUACAGAAUCCUGCCCAAUAGGAAUGCUUUCCAAUAAUCGGGCCUGGUGAUGAUACACCAAUGGGUCACUUAAGGCAACUACAGGGAACAACCUCAUAGAUGUGGCUUGUAUUUCUUCCCAUUUCUGGUAACAAAUGGUUGUUAGCGCCUCUAAGGCAGCUACCUGAGCACCUUCCCAAGGAGUCAUUCCUUCAACAUGGAACAUCCAAUGUGGCCAAGAUGGCUUUCUAGCACGUUCUGGAAUACGCACUACCACCUCAUACCAUGGUUGUCCUCUAAGAACAGUGCACGACCACUGGUACUUGGGUGUUUCGAUAUAUCCGACUUCUUGAAGUAGUCGCCACAGGACCACUGGAACACCAAAAUCUUGUAGAAACUCUCCAACUCCGGUAGGGGCUUCUUGUUGAUUCAUCUUCAGAGAAGAGCAACGGAACACUCUACUUACUAAAAAUGUAUGAACAAGGUAGCUACAUAGGGGGUUUAAUUUAAAGUUUGUAUGACAUGAUGCAUGUGUAAAUACAGAAUCAACCUUAGUUGAUUCAUCCUUCUAUACGUUGCACUCUUCCUAUCUGGUCUUUUAAGAUAAACUCUUCAGAAUACUUAGGUAAGAAAGGAAGAAAGUUUCUAGGUAAGAAUUUUAGAAAAUCCUUUUGAAGAUGCCUCAUAAUAUCUGCAAAGAAAGGCUACGCUCCGAUACCAGAUGUGACGGAACCUCCCAAGUAAUUAGGCCCACCUACAGUUGUCCUUGUCUAACAGACAUCAGACACCCUGUAGAUGUUCCUAAGUCACUUGACAAGUUCGGUAUCUUUCCUUACCUUACCAGGAACGUUUCACCCGUCUUGCAGACAUUACAGAACAUUGGAGAUAAAGAAAUGCGGAAGCUAUUACAUAAACUUACAUUUAUUUAGAAAGUAAGAUCAAGUUACUUAUUACAGACCAGAGCUAUAAACAAGUGCUGAGUAGUACACAUAUCAAGGGAGGCAAAAACUCCUCCCGAUAGCUUUAAACAAAAAGUCCUAUAUGGAGGACCACGUCCUCCCGCAUCUUCACUCUUGUUUUUCUUCAUUUGAUACCACCUUGGAGCAAAAGCAACAAAAAUU
rnacentral:lncRNA from 1 species